AGGUACAUAAUUAAACACAUAAUAUUUAAUUUGCAAUUAAAAAUCGCCACCAGGCUGUGCCUA
rnacentral:tRNA from 1 species